rnacentral:rRNA from 1 species
UACGUAGGGUGCGAGCGUUAAUCGGAAUUACUGGGCGUAAAGGGUGCGUAGGUGGUCGGGUAAGUCCGAUGUGAAAUCUCCAGGCUCAACCUGGAAAUGGCAUUGGAUACUAUCCGGCUUGAGGAGUGGAGGGGGGACUGGAAUUCUCGGUGUAGCAGUGAAAUGCGUAGAUAUCGAGAGGAACACCAGUGGCGAAGGCGAGUCCCUGGACACUUCCUGACACUGAGGCACGAAAGCUAGGGGAGCAAACAGG